UAAGCUUAGUUAAAUUUUCAGAGUUUUGGAAAGUUACUGUCAAGGAAUUUAACUUUCUUCAACCUUCACAUCAGCAGGAGCUGUGGCAGUUUGACAUAUUUAAGCAACCUUACCUCAUUGGAUCUGAAACCUGAGGAGUUAUGAGUGCAGUCAGCUUCCUCGUUGUUCCAGACUGUUGCAAGGAUGAACCAAGUACAAGUGCUCCUUUCACAUAGGAAUCAUUUGUGGCUAGAGUCACAAAAGACUGGUCUGCCAUGGUACCGGCUCCACGAAGCAGCUCAAACCAACACAACAACCCUACUCCAAGACGUACCCUGCGGCCACCCCUAAUAUAGGGGCGGGGCUGCGCGCGAGACUUCUGCGGCCGGUAGGCGGAGCCCCCGGGCGUCGCCAGUGCUGCAGGGCGGGUUGUCCGCCAUGACCGUCUGCGGCGGUGGCACGUCGCUCGUGCUUUGGUUUCGGCGCGCACGUGAGAGGGUCGGUGGUGGCCGCCUUCAGGACAGCGUGCAGAGAGAUCGUCGUGCCUUCCCUUGGUGUUUUGUUGACCGAGCUGACCUUAAAAGCACUCCGCUGUGCGGACGGAGGGUGGGAACAACGGCUUGGGUAAUGCUGCAGGCUGCCUGAACGUUACUGGUGCUGUUGACGGCUCUCUCUGCCCCAGGGCGAUGUGUGUCAGCAGGAAGGAUGUGUGUUUGUUUCACACCUAGAGUGCAGUCCUUGCAGAAAUGUAAGCUGUACUUCUUUGGUAGGUGAUAGAGAUACAGCCUCCUGUAUCUGCUAAAUUUUCACCUUCAGGAGGAAAGGGCUGUCUGCAAUAGUUCUGUGUCUCCUGAGGAGAUCAGAAUUUCGUGCUCGUGCACAUAGCCUCACCAGUGUCAUCAUCUCUUACCUGCUGGCAGCACUUCACCUAAUGAAGACCACGAUACCCACAUCUUUCUUUGCACGAAGGUACAGUGCAAACUGCACAUCAACAGAAUCCCCAGGUCCUCUCCCGUAAUCUGGUGUCUCAUGGCAGGGAUGUGUCAGCUCUGUCACAGAAUACUCUGAGGGAACCGUCAGGAACAGGAUUCCUUUCUAACAUGAAAUAGCCAACAGGUUGCCAUGGGUGGAUUUAAAAACUAAACAAAUCCUCAAGUGCAAGCUGAUGAAGAGCCCCACCUCUUGCAAAUUUCCCAGAUUUGGGUGAUUAUGUUUGAAGUGAGACAGUUUUUUCCUCAAAAGCAAAUUGCUUACUUUAAUAAAUGUUAAAAUCAGGGAAGCACUCCUUGACCACAGUAGCAGAAAUGCUAAUCACGGCCUGAACUGUUGAGCACCUGAUGGAAGGCAGGGCCAACUUGGGGGAGCAUGCACCUGAGUGACUGGAAGGGGUGGAUCCAGGAUCCAUCCCCUCCCAAACCUCAUUUAAGGGUUGCCAGUGGAGGUGAAGGUAUUUUACUUGAGAUCUUUGCUCAUUUAUUUUAAAUGGCAAGAGAAUUUGCAGGGUAGCUAACAUAAAGUAACAGUGAUGUUGCUUGGAAGUUCAUUUUAAUUGACCUCAAGGGAAUUGUGUAUGCAUGAAGCCAUCAGUUCAGGCAACCCUGGUCGUUUGUACAUGACAGGACUGUACAAAGCAUCAGCAAUACGGAUCUCCAAACUGCUUUCUCACCUAUCUUACUGACAAUUAUUUUUUGAUCAUCUAACAGCAGAAUGUGCACAUUCGUGGAUUCUUGACAUAAGUAGGCUUGAGGAGUAGAGUUUUAGGGUGCUCUGGAUUGCACAAGAAAAGGGCUAUUAGUCAAUGCUACAAGAUUUUGAUCAGAUGUCUCUGUUGUCAGCUUAAUUGCAGUGCAAAGCAGUGGUCUCUAGGUGUUAAACCCCCACCUCCUUCUAAAAUCAAUGUUAUGUAUGCUUGAAGAUGGAGGUUUUGUCACUGUGGAAAAAUACAUAGGUUGGACACACAAAAAAAGAAAGAUACCUGGUGAACAGUUAAAGGAGUGAUAGAUAAUUGAGUCAGCCUAGCCACACAGACCGAUGUUCUCUAGUGCUGUAGAUUCCACCUAAGUGAUGGAUAAUCAUGUUUUCUGUUGAAAGACUGCAGAAAACAUCUUUUU
rnacentral:lncRNA from 1 species